GUUUAUCGUUCAAAAGAGGUCUCUGAAAUUUUAGAGGGUUGUGGUAUAUGAAUCAUUGCUGGAUGAGGAAAGGAGUGGGGGAGGAUCUGCAGUUUCAUGCAGCAUUGUACGAUGGAUUUAUAUGGCUGCCUGACUAGGAUGCUGGUGCCUGCAUACGAGCUGAUGUUAGGGAAGCCAUC